rnacentral:rRNA from 1 species
GACGAACGCUGGCGGCGUGCCUAAUACAUGCAAGUAGAACGCUGAAGCGAGGAGCUUGCUCUUCUUGGAUGAGUUGCGAACGGGUGAGUAACGCGUAGGUAACCUGCCUUGUAGCGGGGGAUAACUAUUGGAAACGAUAGCUAAUACCGCAUAACAAUGGAUGACACAUGUCAUUUAUUUGAAAGGGGCAAUUGCUCCACUACAAGAUGGACCUGCGUUGUAUUAGCUAGUAGGUGAGGUAAUGGCUCACCUAGGCGACGAUACAUAGCCGACCUGAGAGGGUGAUCGGCCACACUGGGACUGAGACACGGCCCAGACUCCUACGGGAGGCAGCAGUAGGGAAUCUUCGGCAAUGGGGGCAACCCUGACCGAGCAACGCCGCGUGAGUGAAGAAGGGUUUCGGAUCGUAAAGUUCUGUUGUAAGUCAAGAACGGGUGUGAGAGUGGAAAGUUCACACUGUGACGGUAGCUUACCAGAAAGGGACGGCUAACUACGUG